CAGUGCCAAGCGUAAGGACAGUGCCAAGAAAAGGUGUUUGGGAAAAGUAGGAAAGUUUCGUUUAGUCGGCGCAACAUCUGUGGUCAUAUGCCGGAGAGAGACAGAAGGGGAAGGAAGGAAAGUUUUGUUUAGUCGGCGCAACAUCUGUGGUCAUAUGCCGGAGAGAGACAGAAGGGGAAGGAAGGAAAGUUUCGUUUAGUCGGCGCAACAUCUGUGGUCAUAUGCCGGAGAGAGACAGAAGGGGAAGGAAGGAAAGUUUCGUUUAGUCGGCGCAACAUCUGUGGUCAUAUGCCGGAGAGAGACAGAAGGGGAAGGAAGGAAAGUUUUGUUUAGUCGGCGCAACAUCUGUGGUCAUAUGCCGGAGAGAGACAGAAGGGGAAGGAAGGAAAGUUUUGUUUAGUUGCCGCAACAUCUGUGGUCAUAUGCCGGAGAGAGACAGAAGGGGAAGGAAGGAAAGUUUUGUUUAGUCGGCGCAACAUCUGUGGUCAUAUGCCGGAGAGAGACAGAAGGGGAAGGAAGGAAAGUUUUGUUUAGUGGGCGCAACAUCUGUGGUCAUAUGCCGGAGAGAGACAGAAGGGGAAGGAAGGAAAGUUUCGUUUAGUCGGCGCAACAUCUGUGGUCAUAUGCCGGAGAGAGACAGAAGGGGAAGGAAGGAAAGUUUCGUUUAGUCGGCGCAACAUCUGUGGUCAUAUGCUGGAGAGAGACAGAAGGGAAUGGAAGGAAAGUUUCGUUUAGUCGGCGCAACAUCUGUGGCCAUAUGCCGGAGAGAGACAGAAGGGAAUGGAAGGAAAGUUUUGUUUAGUGGGCGCAACAUCUGUGGUCAUAUGCCGGAGAGAGACAGAAGGGAAUGGAAGGAAAGUUUUGUUUAGUGGGCGCAACAUCUGUGGUCAUAUGCCGGAGAGAGACAGAAGGGGAAGGAAGGAAAGUUUUGUUUAGUGGGCGCAACAUCUGUGGUCAUAUGCCGGAGAGACAGAAGGGGAAGGAAGGAAAGUUUUGUUUAGUCGGCGCAACAUCUGUGGUCAUAUGCCGGAGAGAGACAGAAGGGGGAGGAAGGAAAGUUUUGUUUAGUCGGCGCAACAUCUGUGGUCAUAUGCCGGAGAGACAGAAGGGGAAGGAAGGAAAGUUUCGUUUAGUCGGCGCAACAUCUGUGGUCAUAUGCCGGAGAGAGACCGAAGGGGAAGGAAGGAAAGUUUUGUUUAGUCGGCGCAACAUCUGUGGUCAUAUGCCGGAGAGAGACAGAAGGGGAAGGAAGGAAAGUUUUGUUUAGUCGGCGCAACAUCUGUGGUCAUAUGCCGGAGAGAGACAGAAGGGGGAGGAAUUAUAGGAGAAGGGAACAGACCCCAGGAGAUGAGACACAACCCAACAUCUGUGGUCAUAUGCCGGAGAGAGACAGAAGGGGAAGGAAUUAUAGGAGAAGGGAACAGACCCCAGGAGACGGGACACAACCCAACAUCUGUGGUCAUAUGCCGGAGAGAGACAGAAGGGGAAGGAAUUAUAGGAGAAGGGAACAGACCCCAGGAGACGGGACACAACCCAACAUCUGUGGUCAUAUGCCGGAGAGAGACAGAAGGGGAAGGAAUUAUAG